rnacentral:lncRNA from 1 species
GUGACUAAGGCAGCAGCUAGGGAUGUCUGGGGGUCCUUUGUUAGGGUAUUAGCCCUAACUAGAGAGAAAAACAAAGAAAUGCAGAAAUGAAAGAAAUUAAAAUGCUGAUAUUUUCAUUGACAAUGAGCUAAAGCCCCUAAAGGCAAUACAUAUAGACCCAUUGGCUAGUCACGUGCGCAACACAUGACAAAAUGAGUGAAAUAUCAUAACAAUCCAUCCCCCUUUAGCAAACUUGACCUCAAGUUUCUAUUAUAAGAGACAUUGCAAGUAAAGCAACUCAAAUCUAGACCAAACAGCAUGAACCAGAAGAGAACACUUCAAACCUGCAAUUCUGAGAUCAACAUAAUAUCCUUGACACCCUUGCCAAUCAGUCAACCUGCAUAUGAGAAAUGACAUUCUGGAAGCCUUGAGUUCAAACAACCACUUGCGAGCUAGCUUAUCAUCCCCAAAAGUGAUCAUCCGUACCUUUUCACUCAAUAUAGCAAUUCUGUCCAUAGUAGCAUGUCUGAACAUAUCACCAGUUGUUCUAAAUUUAUUCAAGUUCUUCAGUCUCUCUACACAGAAAGCUAGCAGCUCAUUCAAUUCUACCGGGGUCUUAAUCCAAGUUCUCUGAGGCUGCAAGUAGGUAUCACAUUCAAAGCAAUGCCUCAUGGAAACUUGCUUAAGAAAAUCUUCGGUAAUGCCAAUUGCAUCAUACAUGUUAGGUGGGAAACUGGCAGAGACUUUCCACCCUAAUUUCAUGCCAUAUCGUUGUAAAGCACUAGCAAAGAAAGUUGUGAUUCCAAGAUGUGAAGCAACACACUCAAAUUCUGGUAUAGCACAUAUCGCUUUGUUCACAGAAACACCCUUCAGCACAGCCUUCUUGCUCAAACCAAACUUCAUUAAUCCCAACCCAUAUAACAUGAACCCAGAAGGCAUCUCAUCACUUAAAAACCCCUGGCCACAAUCAAUUUCACCAAAUUCGGACACUUCUGUUGUUCUAGACCUAUUCUUGUAGUCCAAAACAUAAUAAGCUGACAUCUCGACCUUGGUCCUUUUGAUAUGUGAAGACCUUGGAUCACCAUCACAAGGACAAUUCCCAACACCCUCAACAGAAAACGAGUUCUUACUUGAGGAGUCAGCCACUGAACUAAUCUGACCAGAAUUUCCUAAACCCCUGGAAGUCAUCAUCAAGCAAAAAGCAGUCUCUUCUAUAUCUACUCCACAGUGGGCAUACAUAUCAAUAAGAGAGCUAGCAACAGAUCCGGUUAUCCUAAAUAUAUCAUCAUGAAGCAAAUUUUCUUUUCCAACUUUGCAGUUAAAGGAACUAGGAUUAUGGAACUUAAUCACACCAGACACGAAAGUCUCAAAGGCACCUCUAACAUCUUCAAGAUUUAAAAUCAACGUAGUACCUGUGAUUGUGUGUUAGAAGGACGUAUCAUCAUCACAUUGUUAAGCUUGAGCACUUCCUUGACUAUAAAAUCCAACUCAUUUGCAUUCCCUUCAGUUGCAAACUGAGCAAACAUUGCACUCCAUAACACCAAAUUUCUACCCCACAUUCCUUUCGAAAUCAUUGUAUCAUAGUCACCCAACAUACUUGCCAAUGAAGCUGCACACACUGUUUGCCCCUUUACAGAAUGCUUAACACACAAACUGAUUGCACAAAAUUUUGAAGUCAAUAUGUUAACUGCAUGAUCAAUUACCAAAUUGGCAGUAGCAUCUAUCACAGCUUCAAGUUCCAUGUCUUUUGAUUUCCCAUAGAACUCAAUAAUGAAUUUUUCUUCAUCAUGUAUAAGACACCGGUACUCCAACUGAUGGUCAAUUUGAUAUGCCCAGCUUUGUAUUAUACUUGCAGCUUUUCUCUUAAACCUUGUACUAGGAAAUGCAAACAACCAAAAUAGAAUUGACAUGCCUACUAGUUCCAUCAUUAUCCCAAAUGUGUCAUCAGGAACUACAUUCUCAGCAUCCUCACUGAGAGCACUAUAGAUCACGACAGGGAGCUUUACCAAGUUACACAAGACAUUCUCAAAAGCUCUUCCAACAUCUUGAGAAUUUAAAUUUGCGGCAGUGGAUACCUUAGACAAUGAGUUGGUUUGAGUCAUUUCACUCCUUCUGUCGAGUGGUUCCUUGUAAAAGAGUAUUAUCUCUUUUGAUUUCCACUUCUCCAGUAUUAUCUCCAGCACCCUUUUAAAAUUUGCUAUUAUUUUCUCAUAGUUAUCAUCCCCGAUAUCAGUUGGUGUAUCCCUCUCAAGAACAAAUGCAGUCCUCAACCCAGAUUGGACAAGCUUUAGUGCAUCAGAACUCACCCACACAUCAUUAGAUAAAUCCUUGGUAAACAAUGUAACAGAUGAACCACCAGCAAGUAAGUUAUCCCAUUCACCCUUCACACUUCCACAACGCAUGUUUAAUAACUCUUUCAAGGGUAUAAGACCUACACAAGACUUGCUACUGUAGAAAUCCAGUUGAAAAUAAUUUUCCAGCUCAUGAAUAUCCGAAAAAACUACAGUGCCUCCACUAAAAUAACUUGACUGGAAAAUCUUAAAAUCCUGUUUAACAUCAUUUUCAUUUUGAUCUCUCCCUUUUGACACUCGAGGCUCAAUUAAUCCCACAUUUUCAUCAAUUUUUUCACCAGCCUUAAGAUGACGGAUUGCCUUAACCUGUAAGCAUCCAUCACUCAUUGUGCCACCAAUUACCCUGUCACCAAAUUUUUCACAAAUGGCCCUUGCCUCAUGUUUGAUCAUACCCUCAUUCACAUGGCUUUGACCAGUAAUUACAAUCCCAUCAAUUGGAACCUCUGCAUGGCAAACAAACUUUAGUAUAUCAUUUCUAUGAAUAAAUUGAUUGCUAAUUCCCAUCUCCGAUAUAGCAUUGCCAUCCACAAGUUUUUCAGUCUUCCUAACAGAUGAUCCAUUAACAUAAUCAAUAACCUUCAAAUCAGCAAGCUUGGUCUUAUUCCGGGGAUCCUCCUUGUUCUCAGAAAUCCCAACGAGUAUCUGAUACUUCUGCCCCCUUGAGUUCCAGCUGACCCUCAACAGAAAAUUGCUUGACAUCCUUCCCAGAUUUCUCAAAACCAUCAUCCUCUUCUGCACACUUCACUCCAAUUGCAUAUUCUAGAGGCCGGUAAUAUGCAAGUCCCCUACCUUUGUCUCGGAUACUCGUAAGAUCUGCAACAGUCCUCCUUACACUACACAACCCCUUUGACUGAGGCAUUUCAUCAAGCAGUUGGAGUGCAUGGCGCUCUCCCCCCUUCUCACCCGAAUUUGGUCCCUGAUUAUCAUGCCUAACACUAACACCAACAGGAAUUGACGCAACAAAAACAGAAUCAACAGCACCACAACCAUUAUUCACGAAACUGAGAGUGCCAGUAUCACUUACUGAACAAAAGGAUGCAUGAGUGUUGUUCGAUACAACCGAAAUGACAUCGUCAAGGAGAGGGGGCGCAACUGAGCUCUGGACCCUCAAAUUUGUCUUGAAUGAGAGCUUGAGCAUCAAAAGCUUAUUACGUUGCAGAAACUUGCGCUUCUUCACUCCUCCAGUGGCCGGAAUCGACAUGCUGGAGGCUCGUUUGAUACGAGACAUUGAGAGAUUGGCAACUGAAAGAGAUUGAGCGUCACCCAGAUGAGACGGCUUGGAAGUGGGUUGUGGCCGCAGUGGGGAGCAUAUUUUGGGCUCUGAGCUCUGAAUUUUGGGAGUGUGAGUGGGCGGAGGAGCAUCGUCUAGCAGCGAGGCGAUGAACCUUCAGACGAUUGUAUCCCCUUCAUACAUUUAGAUAUGCAAGCAUCCCACAAUCUACUCACAGAUUCUAGGAACUCACUCACCUUUGCAUCUGAGAAAUUGAACUCACAGUGUCUAGAAUCAGUGAUUGGGACCUCUGAACCACUUACCCGGUGAACUUGCAGUGGAGUUGAACAAGGCUGAAGAUCAGGUUUAGCCUCCCUUAGGUAUGCAAAUGGAGGUGGUGUCUCAUGAGUGGUUUGUGGUGGAACAAAUUGGUUUGUGGGAAUGAAAUGAGGCUGGGUAGGUGGGUAGCUUGGUUGGUAAGGAUGGUACGCAUACGCGGAGUAAUGAUUAGGCAGUGGUGGUGGGUGAUAGCCCGGCGGUGGUGGUUGAUAGUCCGGCGGUGGCGGGUGAUAAAUCGGCGAGGAAAAUGGCAAACCCCACUGUUGCGGAGACAGCGAGAACUGCACUGAGUGGUAUGGGUACUGAUUUGAGUACCAUAGAGGCGGUUCAACGCCGUAAGGCAAAGACGCCGGUUGCCCAGCUCCCAGAUUCAUGGCUCUGGAUACCAAUUGUUAGGGUAUUAGCCCUAACUAGAGAGAAAAACAAAGAAAAUAGCAGAAAAUGAAAGAAAUUAAAAUAGCUGAUAUUUUCAUUGACAAUGAGCUAAAGCCCCUAAAGGCAAUACAUAUAGACCCAUUGGCUAGUCACGUGCGCAACACAUGACAAAAUGAGUGAAAUAUCAUAACAUCCUUCAUGUUGAGUUUUGGCAAGGAGGAGCUAUUGGUUUACGAAGUAGAGUAGAUUGAAGGUAAGCUUGGUGUUUUCAGCUUCUGUUUUGGGUUAUAAUGAGGUUUGAGUAUUGGUUAGGUGAUUUGGUGUUGUUGCUUGGUGUUAUUCGGAGGUGGUUAGUGACUGUUUUGUUGUUUUGGUUGUUGUUGAUCAAAUGUCUUGGUGUGUAGUGGUUUAGUAUGUGGAGAAACCGGCAAGGACGAGCUAGUGGGAUUGUGGAAUUGUGGAAUUGAGAAGAUUAGAGGUAAGGGUUGUAUUUUGAACUGUUGUGUGGCUACUAUGUGGGUUUUGAAGAAGCUAAUUCUUGUUUGGUGAAUUUCAUGUCGAUAACUUGGUGAUUCGGAAUUUACGAGGAGACUAUGGCCAAUUUUCUGGCAAGUCGUCGGAAUCCGGUGAAGUUUUUCGACAAGUCACCGGGAUCCGGGCAGAGUUCCGGUAAAGCAGCAGAUCCGGCAGAGAGUCGAGAAGGUAGUUUUUGAGCAUCCUUUCUAAUUUAAGUCGUAGUGCCUAAAAAGAAAAGUUCGGGUUAUUAUUGGAAAACUUGCUAAGUUAGGAAAGUUUCUAUUUUAGAAAACUUACCUUUUUUGGAAGCUUCCUAUUUAUGGAAUCACUUUUUGGGUGCUAUUAGUAAAUUUUUGGAAAUAAAUUGGUGGAUUGAAAGUCUAUGUUAUCAAUUUGGAUGUUGAAUGCUUAUUUUAUUUAUGGAUGGUGUUUUUAAACCUAAAUUAUCAGGAUGUUUCAAUAUAGCAAUUGUGUAGUUUCAAACAAAUCAUGACUACCAAUAUGUGUGAUUUCAGUUAUAGAGGAUGGAUACAAACAUAAUAAUAUCUAUUGUCUUUACGAAGUUAAGAUACCAGAAAUGUGAGGCCAUAAAGAACAACAGACAACGUAAGUGGAGAGUUUAAAUCAAAAGAAGGCAUCAUUUAUAUGUAGCUCAAGCUCAUUCAUAUGAUAGACAAAUGUCGCCUGAAAAUGUCGAAAGUCUAAAAGAUAUCACGUAGUGAAAGUUUAAAGCAUAUCAGACGACAAAUACCUAUUGUCUUAAAGAGACCAAAUGAAAAAAAAAGAAAAAUAUACGUUCCAUGAAGAUCAUUCACCCAAUGCAUGUGUCGUCGUACUACGUCUAGACUAGAAACAACAUUAAUAGUAUGUCGUGUGGGUUCAUCUAGUGAUACAUAAAUAUAGCAUGGAAAAGUUUAAAUUCUAAUUCACCAAGUAUAUGUCGCUUGUAACAUUUUCACAUGAUGUUUAAAUGUCGUCUUUAAACAAAUUAACCUACACCUAUAUGUUGUUGUAAGGCGUAUUUCUCUCUCACUCGCAUUUAUAAGGCGACACAAAGAGCUGUGUCGUCUUACGGCAAAAAAAAGAUACGUUGCCUUCUAGCAUGUCAUUGUUUAAACUAUCAGGCGACAUAUAUACCGUGUCGUCUUAUCUCAAUUCAAGCGACACAAAAUGAAAAAAGUCUUAUGUCGCCUGAGGUUCUUAUCAGCGACACAACAUUUGUGUCGUCGGAGAACCUCAUCAACGACAUGCUAGAAGGCGACAUUUACGAUUUUUAUCAGGUUGUCUCACCUGAUGCAGGAAAUAGCAUAGUGAAUCCUCAUUCACCUCAAAACUUCACAUUACCUGCUAGAAACAAGUUUGAAAAUAUACAUAUUACUCAUUGGUUGAUCUGAGGAUCAUAAGAAUCCAAAUAAUUGCAUACAUAAUGCAAUACUCAAAAAAAAAAAAAGUUUAGAUCUCCAAAUAUGAUGAGUUAUGGUCUCUUAGCACAUGUAAAAUUGAUUGAGUUCAGGUAUCCAGACAAGAAUGUGGUAGUCCUAAUAUAACCUUAAUCAAAUCUACAACUAUAUAUAACUA